rnacentral:lncRNA from 1 species
UUCUGUGACAAACAUUUCGCGAUAAUAACUAAAUAAUUCAUAUAACAUUGGUGAAAAAUUUGAAAAUGAUAUCGAAAAAAGCAAUGUGUGUCUUGGUCCAUUCUUCAAACGUAGUUUUCUAUUUGUGAUUUUUAAUCGUGAUUUCGAUGAAUAAUAUUUAAUUAAUCUUAUUCGUUUUAUUUUUUUUAAUUUUAUUUUUGUCAUUUAUUUCAGUCAAAUUUCAACGAGAAAUUGAAAAGGAAGAAUGCAUCGCGGUUUACGAUACUUCGGAUUUUUCUUUAGAUUUUUCCUCGAUUUUUUAAAUUGAGCGUUCCGUUCCCGUCCGAAGUAAAUCAUAAUUCGUUUAUCAAGUUUCUGGUACUCUCUCCUUCGUUCCGCCCCCAAAGAAAAUUCUAUUCAUUAUUCCUCUACAAAUAUAAUAUUUCGAUUUGUCCUCGUUAAAAUAACGUACAUUUGUCAGAAUCAAGCGUUGACAAAAUUUCACUAAUAAAUUCUUUAUACAAUUCGAUGUACCUUUAUGGGAUUACAUGGUUUAUACAAUGAGAUCUUUUAAUCUUUAAAAAAAAAAAAGUCAAAACAAAUAUAAUUGAAUUACAAAAUUUGAAAAAGUACUUACUCAGAUAACGCAUCGUUUUAUGGUGUUUUCUUAAGAUCUUGAAAAAUCGUCGAAUUUUCUUCAUAAUACGCAGAGAUGAUCGAACACGAAAGAAUCAUUCGUUAAAAUGUAUAAAAUACAUGAAGUAAAUGUAAACUAUAUGAGAGUACAAUCAAAGGAUAACGUGAAAGAAAGGACAUGAUAGCAGAAAAAAUAGAAACGGAGAGAGAGAGAGAGAGACAAACGGAACUCGAGUAAAAGCUCGGAAACAAAAAGAGAGAUGAAGAGAAAGUGAGAAUGAAACGAGUGAGGAGAGCAGAGAGUGGGAGAGCGAGUUAUUAAGAGCACGGGGAAGGUCGAGCAUGGUGGGGUGGUACCUAGUGACGUAAUUAAUUCAAAACGAAGACACGACGCAGCGCCACGGAAGGGAAACAAUCAGCUGUUGACUCUCCUCGGAGAUAAGGGAAAGAACAUUGGUGCCAGGACGAGGGCGUAGGAAGGACUGAGAGAGGAUCUAGAAGCGAAUCCUGCCAUCUCGAAGGACCGUCCAACGGGAACUGUACCGUCGAACGUCGCGACGCCGGCGUCUGCGUCCCAUCUGCCUAUGUACAUAUAUAUCUAUAUGUAUAUAUAUAUAUAUAUAUAUAUGUACACCUAUUGUAUAUAUAGGUAUAUGUAUCUACGCGCUUACAUAUAUACACAAGCUUGUUUAAUAUGUUAUCCGUGUAUGCGUGAAUAUCCUCCGCUAGAUUCAAUCCGUCUUCGGUUAGACAGUAUAUUUCGCCGAAUACUUUCAAUUCUUCCACGUCUCGUAGUUGCGCUAUAUUUCACUCCUUUAUCAUACACGCGCGAGUCUGCCGGAAUUCAAAACGUACUUACGUGAUAUGAGUAAUAUUGUAAUUCUUAACAAAGAAACACGUAGAAAAAUAUAUUUCCGAUCGAUAAAACGUAAUUCGAUAAAAGGAAAAUAAAAUAUUAAAUUAUAUUUAUUCGUCGAAAAUCAUUUAGAUAAUUUUCCAAAGUUAUCUACAAUUUUUAUAAACGAGUAUAUGUUAUUAAAUAAAAAAUAAAUUGGUAUUAA